UGGGGAAUUUUGCACAAUGGGGGAAACCCUGAUGCAGCGACGCCGCGUGAUUUAGAAGGCCUUCGGGUUGUAAAAAUCUUUUCUAUGGGAAAAAAAUGACAGUACCAUAGGAAUAAGGACCGGCUAAUUACGUGCCAGCAGCCGCGGUAAUACGUAAGGUCCGAGCGUUGUCCGGAAUCAUUGGGCGUAAAGGGUACGUAGGCGGGUAAGCAAGUUAGAAGUGAAAUCCUAUAGCUCAACUAUAGUAAGCUUUUAAAACUGCUCAUCUUGAGGUAUGGAAGGGAAAGUGGAAUUCCUAGUGUAGCGGUGAAAUGCGCAGAUAUUAGGAGGAAUACCGGUGGCGAAGGCGACUUUCUGGCCAUAACCUGACGCUGAGGUACGAAAGCGUGGGUAGCAAACAGG
rnacentral:rRNA from 1 species